CAGAGCGUGGUGGACUGCCGGAGCCAUUUACGGCGACAGCAGAGGAAGCCGGUGCGAAUCCGGCGCGGUCCCGCCACUGUCACCGGGGAGCGGUCCCCCACACCGGGAAGUCACGGCACGCGCGAGCGGGCUGGAAGGCCGGGGGAAUCGCGGAUCCGGGAGCCAGGAGACUCUCGUCGCCGUCACGUCGAACC
rnacentral:ncRNA from 18 species